rnacentral:rRNA from 1 species
GACGAAGGGGGCAAGCGUUAUUCGGAUUUACUGGGCAUAAAGCGCGCGUAGGCGGCUUGGCAAGUCGGGGGUGAAAGCCCGCAGCUCAACUGCGGAACUGCCUUCGAUACUGCCGAGCUUGAGGGCGGGAGGGGUGAUUGGAACUCCAGGUGUAGAGGUGAAAUGCGUAGAUAUCUGGAGGAACACCGGAGGCGAAGGCGAAUCACUGGACCGCAUCUGACGCUGAGGCGCGAAAGCUAGGGGAGCAAACAGG